CACGUAGGGGGGCAAGCGUUUGUCCGGAUUUUUAUUUGGGGCGUAAAGAGCUCGUAGGCGGCUUAGUAAGUCGGGUGUGAAACCUCCAGGCUCAACCUGGAGACGCCACCCGAUACUGCUGUGGCUAGAGUCCGGUAGGGGGAGCGUUGGAAUUUCCUGGUGUAGCGGUGAAAAUGCGCAGAUAUCAGGGGGGAACACCAGCGGCGAAGGCGGCGCUCUGGGCCGGUACUGACGCUGAGGAGCGAAAGCGUGGGGUAGCAAACAGG
rnacentral:rRNA from 1 species